AACGAACGCUGGCGGCAUGCCUAACACAUGCAAGUCGAACGAGACCUUCGGGUCUAGUGGCGCACGGGUGCGUAACGCGUGGGAAUCUACCCUCAGGUUCGGAAUAACUCAGAGAAAUUUGAGCUAAUACCGGAUGAUGACGUAAGUCCAAAGAUUUAUCGCCUGAGGAUGAGCCCGCUUAGGAUUAGGUAGUUGGUGAGGUAAAGGCUCACCAAGCCGACGAUCCUUAGCUGGUCUGAGAGGAUGAUCAGCCACACUGGGACUGAGACACGGCCCAGACUCCUACGGGAGGCAGCAGUGGGGAAUAUUGGACAAUGGGCGAAAGCCUGAUCCAGCAAUGCCGCGUGAGUGAUGAAGGCCUUAGGGUUGUAAAGCUCUUUUACCCGAGAUGAUAAUGACAGUACCGGGAGAAUAAGCUCCGGCUAACUCCGUG
rnacentral:rRNA from 1 species